CCUACGGGAGGCAGCAGUGGGGGAUAUUGGACAAUGGGGGGAACCCUGAUCCAGCGACGCCGCGUGAGUGAAGAAGUAUUUCGGUAUGUAAAGCUCUGUCAGCAGGGAAGAAAGAAAUGACGGUACCUGACCAAGAAGCCCCGGCUAACUAGGUGCCAGCAGCCGCGGUAAUACGUAGGGGGCAAGCGUUAUCCGGAAUUACUGGGUGUAAAGGGGGCGUAGACGGUUAAGUAAGUCUGGAGUGAAAGGCAGGGGCCCAACCCCGGGACUGCGUUGGAAACUAUUGAACUUGAGUGCAGGAGAGGUAAGCGGAAUUCCUGGUGUAGCGGUGAAAUGCGUAGAUAUUAGGAGGAACACCAGUGGCGAAGGCGGCUUACUGGACUGCAACUGACGUUGAGGCUCGAAAGCGUGGGGAGCAAACAGGAUUAGAUACCCGAGUAGUC
rnacentral:rRNA from 1 species